rnacentral:rRNA from 1 species
AAACGACUCUCGGCAACGAAUAUCUCGGCUCUCGCAUCGAUAAAGAAUGUAGCAAAAUGCGAUACUUGGUGUUAAUUCAAGAAUCCCGUGAACCAUCAAGACUUUGAACGCAAGUUGCGCCCGAAGCAAUUAGGCCGAGGGCACGUUUGCCUGGGCGUYACGC